UUUUUUCACUACUAAAUAUUUGCUGGAUAUGCUGAAUGCAUCUCGUGGGUUGGAUGUCUAUUGCAAAAGAAUCGGAUGCGCAAGAUAGGAUCACUAGUGCAUUCGAAACAGCGGGCCGACAAAAAGCCCCAAUAAAAGGAAAAGGAAGAAAUGGGAACAAUUUUGAGAUGACGAAGGGAGAUGAGACAGUUUGGGGGG
ensembl:ncRNA T23F2.12 ncRNA